GUAGGGUGAACCUGCGGAGGGAUCAUUACACAAAUAUGAAGGCGGGCUGGAAUCUCUCGGGGUUACAGCCUUGCUGAAUUAUUCACCCUUGUCUUUUGCGUACUUCUUGUUUCCUUGGUGGGUUCGCCCACCACUAGGACAAACAUAAACCUUUUGUAAUUGCAAUCAGCGUCAGUAACAAAUUAAUAAUUACAACUUUCAACAACGGAUCUCUUGGUUCUGGCAUCGAUGAAGAACGCAGCGAAAUGCGAUAAGUAGUGUGAAUUGCAGAAUUCAGUGAAUCAUCGAAUCUUUGAACGCACAUUGCGCCCUUUGGUAUUCCAAAGGGCAUGCCUGUUCGAGCGUCAUUUGUACCCUCAAGCUUUGCUUGGUGUUGGGCGUCUUGUCUCUAGCUUUGCUGGAGACUCGCCUUAAAGUAAUUGGCAGCCGGCCUACUGGUUUCGGAGCGCAGCACAAGUCGCACUCUCUAUCAGCAAAGGCCUAGCAUCCAUUAAGCCUUUUUUCAACUUUGACCUCGGAUCAGGUGGCAUGCA
rnacentral:rRNA from 1 species